UGAAAGCCACCUUGGGGUCCCUUU
rnacentral:piRNA from 1 species